rnacentral:rRNA from 1 species
UACAGAGGUCUCAAGCGUUGUUCGGAUUCAUUGGGCGUAAAGGGUGCGUAGGUGGCGCGUUAAGUCAGGUGUGAAAUUUCGGAGCUUAACUCCGAAACUGCAUUUGAUACUGGCGUGCUUGAGGACUGGAGAGGAGACUGGAAUUCCUGGUGUAGCGGUGGAAUGCGCAGAUAUCAGGAGGAACACCGAUGGCGAAGGCAGAUCUCUGGGCCGUAACUGACGCUGAGGAGCGAAAGCAUGGGGAGCGAACAGG